AUUAACGCUAGCGGCAGGCCUAAUACAUGCAAGUCGAACGGCAGCGGACUCAGCAAUGGGUGCCGGCGAGUGGCGCACGGGUGCGUAACGCGUAUGCAAUCUACAUUUAACUGGGGGAUAGCCCCGAGAAAUCGGGAUUAAUACCCCAUAAUAUUGAGGAGGGACAUCCCAUUUCAAUUAAAGCUCCGGCGGUUUUAGAUGAGCAUGCGUGACAUUAGCUAGUUGGUGAGGUAACGGCUCACCAAGGCAACGAUGUCUUGGGGUUCUGAGAGGAUUUUCCCCCACACUGGUACUGAGACACGGACCAGACUCCUACGGGAGGCAGCAGUAAGGAAUAUUGGGCAAUGGGCGCAAGCCUGACCCAGCCAUGCCGCGUGAAGGAUGACGGCCCUAUGGGUUGUAAACUUCUUUUGUACGGGAAAAAACCACCGGUCGUGAACCGGUGCUGAUGGUACCGUAAGAAUAAGCAUCGGCUAACUCCGUGCCAGCAGCCGCGGUAAUACGGAGGAUGCAAGCGUUAUCCGGAUUCAUUGGGUUUAAAGGGUGCGCAGGCGGAAUGAUAAGUCAGUGGUGAAAUCCUACGGCUCAACUGUAGAACUGCCAUUGAUACUGUCAUUCUUGAGUACACUUGAAGUGGGCGGAAUGUGUCAUGUAGCGGUGAAAUGCUUAGAUAUGACACAGAACACCGAUCGCGAAGGCAGCUCACUAAAUUGUAACUGACGCCCAUGCACGAAAGCGUGGGGAUCAAACAGGAUUAGAUACCCUGGUAGUCCACGCUGUAAACGAUGAUUACUCGAUGUUGGCGAUAUACUGUCAGCGUCUAAGCGAAAGCAUUAAGUAAUCCACCUGGGGAGUACGGCCGCAAGGUUG
rnacentral:rRNA from 1 species